UACGGGGGGGGCGAGCGUUGUUCGGAAUUACUGGGCGUAAAGGGUGCGCAGGCGGCCAAGUGUGUUAGGCGUGAAAGCCCGGGGCUUAACCCCGGAAUUGCACCUAAAACUACAUGGCUAGAGCAUUGGAGAGGGUAGCAGAAUUCAUGGUGUAGCAGUGAAAUGCGUAGAUAUCAUGAGGAAUACCAGAGGCGAAGGCGGCUACCUGGACAAUUGCUGACGCUCAGGCACGAAAGCGUGGGGAGCAAAAGGG
rnacentral:rRNA from 1 species